UACGUAGGCAGCGAGCGUUGUUCGGAAUUACUGGGCGUAAAGGGCUCGUAGGCGGCCAACUAAGUCGGACGUGAAAUCCCUCGGCUUAACCGGGGAACUGCGUCCGAUACUGGAUGGCUUGAGUUCGGGAGAGGGAUGCGGGAAUUCCAGGUGUAGCGGUGAAAUGCGUAGAUAUCUGGAGGAACACCGGUGGCGAAGGCGGCAUCCUGGACCCGAUACUGACGCUGAGGAGCGAAAGCCAGGGGAGCAAACGGG
rnacentral:rRNA from 1 species